GACCUGUGACUGGCUUCUAGCCAAUAGGACACUGCAAAUGACAUGUCACUCCCAUCCAUUAUGACAUCACCAUGCUAUAUAAGAUUCUGUUGGCAGCCUAGAGUCACAGAGUCUUCUGCUGAACCUGAGGAAGGAAGCCACCAUCUUGAGAGAGCCUGCAGCCCAUGAGAGGGCCGUGUGGAAGGGCGCUGCUGGCAGCCUCUAGGAGCCGUGAGCGGGCCUGGGGUUGAGAGCCAGUGAGAGGGACCCCAGUCUUACAUCUGCAAGAAACUGAAAUCCACCAGAGCCAGAGUUUGAUCAUAAUAGAACUUCUCAGGUCUGUCUCCCAGGAAGAAGAAACAAGAGCUAUCUAGGGAAGCCCUUCUCCUGGCAGAAAGAAGCAGCUCCAAGAAAUCAAAGCAAGUCAAAAGAUGCCAGUGCAUCGAAGUCCCUGAUCAUACAGUGUACUUCACUUCCACUCAAAGACAUUAGCUGAAGCAAGCCACAGGGCCAGCGUAAAAGGCAGUGCACCAGGGAAGACUAUUCCCCUCUCGGUUAGACCAUGCAAUACAGGGAGGGAAGGAGGCAUGAGGAACAAAUAAUGCAAAAACAGCUUCUAUUUUCAUAAAGUUCAUAGUCUAAUGUGGGAGAUCGAUAUGCAGGCUGCAAACAAGCAAAUUAAUACACAAUAAACUGGGAUAACUUUAUAAAGACAAUGAAUAGGGCUGGGGAUAUAGCUCAGUGCUAGAGUGACUGCCUCGUAGGUGUGAGGGCUGAGUUUGAUUCUCAGCACUGCCAAAAACAAAAAAAAAGAAAAAGAAAGAAAAUGAAUAACAUGAGGGUCCUAUUUUAGGUUGGGUGGCCUGAGAAGAGAGACCGAGAGCAAAGGGCUUUCCAGCCGGUUGGAGUAGUUGGUGCAAAGUCAGUAAAGAAGCAACCAUGUUGAUGUGGCUUAAGAAUUGGAAUGAGAUGCCCGUGGCUGGAGUUUGGUAAGGGAAGGUAAAACCCUGUGACCUAAGAUUGAAGAUGCCUUUAGGGGCCAGGAUCUGUAGGGACCUGACUUGUUACCUCUCCCUCAUUUACUAACCAUUCCUCUCCCACUUGUACAGGCUGCCUAAACAUAUACACGCACGCGCACACACACACACACACGCACACACACACCCCUCCUUAAAGCUUCCUUAGGUUGACCAAUCUGCUGAAGCCACUUUAGAGUCUUCUAAACAAAUAAACAAUGCAAAACCAAAACAAAAUAAACCCCCUUCAGUCUGUGCAUUUCAGGGACCAGGAUUCAGAUAGUCUGGGGAACAGGUAGAAAGGCUCCUGCCUGGAACAGAUGGGGCUUGCAGGAGUCUCCUGGCCAAGAAUCACCCUCCAGGUGAGAAAAGAACCAGGUCUAACAGGAGGCACUUGGUAACUUCUGAGAAAGACAUUUUCUAAAUUCAGUUUUUAGUUGGCCCUAAAAUCUGUGCAGCACAAGAGAAAGUUUCAUAGUGAUGGGCAGGUUGGAUAUCUUGAUUAGGGUGAGGUUACACAGAUUUGUCAUUUGAACUACAUACUUGAAAUAAUGCAUUUUAUUGUACCCAAUUUAUAUCUUAAUCGAGUUGAAUUAAAGGUAAACAAAACAAAAAGCAAGUCGUAAAUAGAAAAAAAAAAA